AAAAAAAAAAUUCUAUUAGGCUUUUAUUUAACAUGAAUUUGAAUGUAUUCCAGGUCACUGAUCACAUAAGCGAUCACGAUACGGGUAAUAAAGAAGUUCCUACCAUACCUUUAUUUGCUUUCUCCCUGUAAUAAAUCUUUAUCACACACUGGGCUGAUUGCAACAGUAUCACUUCCUUUUUUUUUUUUAUUUUUUUUUUUCCCUCCUGUUUUAUAGGGCAGCAAAAAGCCAACUGGGCCCAUCUGCAAGCACACCCAAUGGCGCUGGGAUGGGAUGGCAAACAAAAGGCAGCCAGGGCAGCCACACUGCUGCCUUGAAGAACCAAGGGUUGACUUCCCUGGGUGCAGACCCCAACCUUCACAUGCUGCAAAACCCCAUGCAUGAUCCUUUGUGACUGCAGGAAAAGGGGGAAUCGUAGCGUGGCACUGAGGGACGCGGUUAGUUGGAUAGUGGGUGCAGUGUGGACGGGUUGAUGGUUGGACUUGGGGAUCCUUGUGGUCUUUUCCAACCUGCGUGAUUCCAUGACUGUGUCAUAGUAGGAAAUAUCAACCUGUGUGCUUUCUUAGUAAGUGAUCAUUAAGACGGUUUAAUAAACGAUCCAAGUGACAGCCCUAUGCUAGAACAGCCUCGAAUCAAACCAUUCUGCACAGGGAAGAAUUUUUGCUCCCUGUAAACCAAAAGUAAUGGGUCAAAGGGAAAUGAAUCCUGAGCAGUUCCCUGCACUUCUGAGCAUUUGGUGUUCUGGACCCCAUUCUCCCUCGUACCCUCAUGCUUAAUCCUCCUCAUUUGAAUGAUUUGCAUCCAAAUCUCUCCAUUUUUGUCCUUUCAUUCUCGAGCACACGAUGUUAGUUCCCGCUAAUACAAGGGCAUCAAUCGCCUUCAUCUUCUCCUAUUUAAUGAUAUUUAUUCAUCAUCGCAUGGGAGAGAAAUUGGCUGCAGCUCAAUUUGGCAAAAUAAAUUGGGACCAGUUCAAGCGUAAUCUCGCUAAACACACAGAUUUUAAUCCCCCCCCCCAAGUGAAGCACACUGCAUCUGCAAUGGAUGUCCUUGGUUCAAGAUCCAGAUGCUGAUUUCAAACUCCAGAAUCUCCCACUGCUUGCAGAGCUCACUUUGUGAGGACCAGGGACUACGUAAAUUCAGAACAGCUCCAGCACAGCUUUGCUCCUGUUGUCCUUAAUUGCUUGAAUACUGAGCAGGUUGAUAUUGUGAUUAUUUGUAGACAUUUAUACCAUCCCAGGCCUUCUUCUUUAUAACUUUAUUUCAUUUUCUGCUGUUUACUCACAACUACCUUUAUCACCGCACGCUGAUAGUCUGUUCUUUAUUGCCUCGGUGUGAUUGCAAGGAGUUUGAGCACAACCCAAUAACACACAUAUAUAAAUAUUUGAACAGGAAAAGAAAGUCUGUCUCAUUCAGGCUAUGGAAGGAGGGAAAAAUGAAAACAAAUAAUACCGCUAGAGGGACCUUCACACUGAACCACGGUGGAGGAGAGGUCACACACAGCCUCCACGAGUGGCACCGAUGGGACCCGUGGUGUCGGCAUGGAGCUUGCAAGCAGCAGCACCGCAUGCAUGCAGGGCUCGUUGUUUGCCGAGGAUCACCCGAAUAAUUCCACUUGAGCACAACAAACGUGUUUUGUUUUUGCAGUUAAAGAGCUGAGUCCUUUUAAUUAGUUGACUCGGGCCUUUCUGCAUGCGGUCCCCACGCACUGUGGCUGGUUCAAAGAGGAGCCUCUCUGUGUGUUUUCGCUUUUCUUCUCUUUUCUUUCUCCCCUUUAACACUGCGUGUGAAUAGUUGAAGACGGGAGCGAAAGACAUUGGACUUAGAAAGUAAAAUCUCCAGGAAGCAAAAAUGGAGGCAAACACAGGAGCUAAUUUAGGCAGGCAUAGCUGGUGUUGUUUGUGGUUGUCCCUGACAGCGCUGCUGACUCUAAAGCACCUGUGUUUGCUCACUAGCUUUCCCCAAUCUGCUAGAAAAUGGCCCUAGCAUGUCACAUGGCAGCGAGAUAGUCCGAGCGCCAUGGGAAUAAAAAAGCCUGAGCUUUUAACGGAGUUAAUCAUUAAUGCGCCUUUUCUUUGUCCCAUUCAGGAGUGCUGACAAGCGCUUUGAUAUUUCAUAUUUGCCAUCAGGUCAGCGGCAGUCAUACCCAGGUACUAAUGAGCGCCCUGGCUCACGCCUCCCUGUUUCAUGGCCCGCCUGAAGAUUUCGUCCCACUUGCCCUCAACCACAGCUACACGCAUAUAUAUCCCUGCCUAUAUGUGUGUGCGUGUCCCUGCUUCCACGUCUGAAUGCAUCCCUGCAUAUAUGCACAUAGGCAUCCCUGUGCGCACACCCGAGCAACACCCAUGGGUGCAGCGCAUGCUCAGGAGAUCCCAGUUCAGGCGCUUUUAUCCCCUCCUGUAGACAAAACCCAGGGCUCCCAGCUCCAGAUCCAAGCCCUGUGUUCCAUAUUGGGCAUCUCAAUGCAAUGCUUUGUAUCCACGAGCAGCUGUCAAUGCGUGCGCGCACUUCGGGGUUGAGCAAAUAAUCCCCAGUGAAUAAUGUAUGUGCGGGGAGGAAUGCAGGCUGCACUACUCGCCCCCAGUCCUGGCUGCCAGCAGCGUGUUUUCUGCAUCGUGCUUCUUCUCCCAGUUUGUUUGCCCUGAUGCACCCAGGUUUCCCUGUUCACUGCAGGGGAAUUAGACUAGGUGACCUUUGAAGGUUUCUUCCAACUCCAACAAUUCUAUGAUUCUUUGGUUCUAUGGUUCUGAUUCCAUGAUUCUAUGGGUCUGUGAGCCUAUGGUUCUACGAUUCCAUGAUUCUAUGAUUCUACGGUUCUAUGAUUCUAUGAUUCUAGGGGUCUAUGAAUCCAUGAUUCUAGGGGUCUAUGAUUCUGUGGAUCUAUGAUUCCAUGAUUCCAGGGGUCUAUGUUACUAUGAUCCUAUGAUGCCACGAUUCUAUGAUUCUAUGUGUCCAUGGUUCUAUGACUCUAGAUGCACUGCUUGGGAACCAGUUGUAUGAAGGCAUGAUUACAAAGGAGACUGAGAAUGCUCGUCCUCCCUAAGAGCAGCAAGGCACUGCUAUUCUGUUGUCUGGCUUGGCCAAUAAAUGCAGUUGUUUGUGCCAGCACUGAGUAGAAAAACCUAUCCCUCAGCGUAAAGGCCAGGCAGGUCAGCAGGCCUCCAUAAAGCUGCUGUGCAAAGAUGAUUUGUGCUGGCUUCAACGAGAAUCACAGUCAAACUUCAAGGUGCUUGAACCUUUCCCUUGACUCGGGCAGAGACUGACAGCACAUUUCACUCCUCCUCGCCGGGGUUGGAUGCUGACAGAAUUGCAUCAGUGAGCUCACCGAGGGGACCUCCUGUCUGUGUUCAUGUAGUGUGGGGAGGAAAACAUGGCUGGAGCUGCCCAUGCUGCCAGCACAGCAGGGAGGUGCAGCCAGGCAUCGCAGAAGGUUGCACAAACCUGGGCUUCCUUCAGCAUCCCUCUGGGUUGGAAGUGUGUGCAGCGUGAAAUUAAUGAGCUAUUCAUAGAACCAUCAUAGAGUCAUAGAAUCAUGAAGGUGGAAAAGAUAACCGAGUCCAACCACAGCUCACCCCCACCGUGCCCACUGACCACGUCCUGCAGUGCCACAUCCCCACAGCUUUGGGAUGCCUCCAGGGAUGGUGACCCCACCACUCCCUGGGCAGCUGUGCCACUGCCUCACCGCUCUUUCAGGAAAUAAACUGUUCCUAUCAGUCAACCCGAAUUCAGCCCUAAGCUUUUCAGUCUCCUUUUGCUGAGAUAUGGUGACUGAGCCACUUGGCUCCAUACUCCUCUUAGAUUAAAGAGGGAACUGCCAAAAAUGUCACAGAUUUCAGAGGCCGGCUAGUGGUGACUCACCCAGAUAACGCUCUCAAGGACGUAUAGGGAGCCCGGAACCGUAGUCCCAUGCGACAGAGCCACAUCUGGAGAAAUGGCCAAGGUCACCCCACCACUGGCUCGGGCCCCCACAGUGCCAGGUGAGGAAAAUCCUGCUCCGUAAAACUCACACUGGACAGAGAGGCAGAAGGGGAAGCGGGAGAAGGUUCGACCCCGGUUUGCACACAGAGAUAGGCCAGGAUUAGUCCCUUUAGUCUCUUUUAGCUCAUGCUGGCCACAAAGCUCUAAUCUAAGAGGAGAACUCCUGAGGCUGUGAUUGGACCUGGAAGUCAAUUUGCUGCGAGCAUCCUAUGCAGAGUUGAAGCCAGCCAAAAAGGAAGCCUUCCUGGAAAAAUAACAAAGGAUCCAUCCCGGAGAAGCAUCUUCUCAAAUAUCCUCGAGGCAGAGAUAGCACUUCUGUCCGCUCCCGAGUCUACUGAAGCGUAACGCAGCCAGGCAAGGGAGAGCCUCGAUCUCUGUAUUGCUUGUGCAACGGUGUGAGUUUAAAACCUGUCGGAACAUGGUCCUGCCCCAGCUGUUCUUGCACUGACCGUGCAGGCAGAUGGCUGGCAGCAGCAAAGCUCCGGCUGCAGAAAUCCGUAAGGUAAAUCGCACGUCGAGGGCUUUCUUGCCGCCUGCUUUGCAAAGAGCAGGGCCCGUUCGGGUGAAAGCAGGAAGGCGUUCUGAACUCCCGGCCCUGGCAAGUGGGAGCUGAGCCGGUGUCCCCCCCCCCGCCCUCGCCCAUCCCCGGGGCUACCUGCAAGUUGCCGGCCUCGCCCGGCUGCUCCGCCCGGUCCCUGCCCUGUCCGGCACGGGGGGAGGUCAGAGCUGGGGGUGGAAGGGUAAAAAAUGGGGAGGGAAAAAGGGGAGGGAGAAGAGGGGAAAGGGGAAAAAGUUGGGGGGAAGGGGGGAAAAUAAAGAAUAAAUAGGAAAGGAGUGAGAAAUGGAAGGAAUGGAGGAAAAAAAGGGGGGGAGGGGAAAGGAAAGAGGGAAUGAAAGGAAAAGCGUGGCGAAGAAAUGGAGGAAAAAAGGAGAGAGAAAGAAAGGAAAAGAAAAUGAAAGAAAGGAAAAUAAAGGGGAGAAAAGAGGGGAGGGGCAAGGAAGAAAUAAAAGAACAACAGAUGAUAAGAGAGACAGAAAAGGAAAGCAUGAAAAAGAAAAGGGAAAAGCAUUCCCAGUGACAGAAGCGCUGCCCGCCCCGUUCGCUGCCCCGCGCUGCCCCAGGCGGGCAGCAGCCCCCGGCCCACACUCCUGCCUCGGGCACGCGUGGGAGAGCGGCCAGCCGGGCUGGGGCGGCGCGGGACCUCCAGGACCCCCCCCCACCGUCUCAUAUAUAUAACUUUGUUGUUGUUGUUGUUAAUUCAAUUUCACACCCAGCUGCACCUGCAAACGUAACACCCACCCCUCGUUCCAAUCCUCCAUCCAUCCUUCCGUCCUUCCGUCCACCUCUCCAUCCAUCCACCACCCCGGAGCCGCACCCCACGCUGGCCGCGGUUCUUCUCCAUCCUCCCGUCCCGAUUCGCAUCCCUGCGCCUGCCGCCCUUUCACUUAGGGCCGGGUUCUGUGCCUCUCUGGGCGUCGCGUCCCCCCUUGGUUCUCCAUAUCCCCCACCCUGGGGGGAAACCACCCCAUUCUCCUGGCCCUCCCCGUCUCAGAACCGUCGCAGUUUCCACGCGUUGCGAUUUAAUAGGAAAUAAACAUCAAACCCAUCGGCCCGGCCGGGGCUGCGGGAAAACUCGGGGCACUCUAUUUUAUUAUUUUUUCUUGCUUAUUUUUAUCCUUCCCCCAUUAAAAAGAAAUAGGGAAGAGAUUCCUCUCGCCCAGAGCCACCCCCCCUCCCCCGGGUUCCGUCAGAGAGGGGAAAUAUUUCGCUGAGAGACGACCGCAGCGAGAGAGCAAAAAAAUAAACCCCAAUCCGCUCCCGCCGACACCCAAAGCCCCGUUUUUAGCUGUCCCGUAAAUAAGGAGCCGGCAGACUCUGCAUCAUCCUUCGCUAUUUACUCUUUUGAAGGUUAGGCAGGGCAGAGGUAACAAACUUUUGAACGAUUUUCCUCCUCCCCUUUUCCAUCCUCUUCCCUACCUGGUUUUAUGUGGUUUCUGGAUUAAUCUAGUGUGGAGCAGAAGCGGACUUUCCCCGGCCGAAAUAUAGGAUUAGGACUAUUUCUAGAAGAAAGAGGAUAGUGUCAACUGCCUUUAGCCUGCAAUAGUCUAAAGCAGAAUUACAGCUUGUAAAAUAGGUCUCCAUCAGUUUCCCAGGAGACGAGUUAAGCCCUACUUGGGUGUUCCAGCUCUUUUUAGAACCAGCAAUAAUUAGACUCAUCUCACCCUGAGCUGUCCGGUUUUUUUAGGAUCCCCACCGACCGCUUUUGCAUACAAUCCUGCCGGGGCCGCCUGCCCGCACCGCUCGGCAGCAGAAACCUUCGGGGCGGUUCGGGGCAGGAGACGUCCCUUUGGCAAGCGGGGCAGCGCGGCUCUCCUGCCCGACGUGCCAUUCCCUUGCGCUUUGAUGUCCGCUGCCUUUGAGCCAUCUCUGCAUGUCAUUAGGGGCCCGGACAAUUAAAGAAGUGCCUUCGCACCCCCCCUCUCCCAACCCCUCCCCGCAGCGGAGGGGAAGUCGGAAAAAAAUAAAUACAUCGGCCAACACGGCGAGCCGAUGCGGGGCUGAGUUCGCCUUCGGAUCGCGGCCGUGAGAUGGGAAAGUCGCCCGCAGGGGAGCGGGAGGAGCCGCGACGGUGACAGCGACAGUGACUGCCGGUCCGGCCGCUCGCCGCCGGCUUUGGUGGCGGAUUGGGUGGGGAGUCCUUCUGCCGCCCGGGUACGCGGCUCCGUCCUCGGGGCGGUCGGAUGCCGCUCGGUCUCCCCGAAAGUCAAAUAAUAAAAAAAAAAAAAAUAGAAAUUUAAAAUAAUAAUAAUAAUUAAAAAAUCGAUCUGUGGGAAUGAAGGGCGGAAGCGGAGCUUAACGCGCUGCUCUUUCUGAGGGGCUGGUAGAGGGGAAAUGCGGCUGGGAGGGUUCGGAGGAGGCUGGGGAUGCUCGGGUGUAGAAAUAGGCUAUCUAUCUAUCUACCUGUAUCUAUUAAUAGCGAUACCAUACAAAUAACGAGUAGAGGAAGGUCGCGGAGUGCAGCCCCGCUCCCGCCGGGCUGGGGCUGCCCGUGGCCGGGAGGUGAGCCUCUCCCGGGCCGUUCCCACGCGUGUCCCCUCCCCGCACGGCGACACGAGUUCGGUGGCAGGUCAUUGGCGAGUGCUGUCCCCGAGAGCCCGUCACUGCCGGGCACCCGCUCGGUCGGAAGCAGGGACCUGGCACGGGGACGGGGACACGCGUGCACAACCCGCCCCCGGUCUCCGUGGGCCUCGAGAGACGUCUCCUUCCCGAGUCCCCGCGUGUGCGAUGCCACUCGUGUUCGUGCCCAGCGGCCGAGCCCCGGCCCCGUUAAACGCUCGUUUUCCUCUUUUUCACCGUGUUGCCAACGAGAAAAUGAGGAUGGGGUCUUUUUCCCUCCUGUUCUUGCCCACGCGGGGACGGGGCACUGCCUGUGGUACCGGCAGCGGCGCUUCCCCGUGACACGGACACGGGAGAAAUGCCGCUCGGAGAGAGGAACGAAAAAGCGCCGCGGAGCCGGGGAGGACAACGGAAUAACGCGCAAAAAGAGGGGGGAAACAAAAAAAGGAAAGGAAAACAAACAAACAAACAACAACAAAAUAAAGGAAAGAAAAGCAGGAAGAAGCGCGCGGCUCCUGGGGCAGCGGCGAGGCGCGGCGAGUCGGCUACCGCGCAGCCCCGUUCCUUCUCCGACGGCCCCACAACGACUCGAGCCCUCGGCAACGAGCUGUGGGGCUGCGGCCAGCCGCACCCCGCGCCCCGACCCGUCCCCACCCCGCUCCCGCGCGGGAAUCCCCCUCGGACCCCAAAUCCCCCUCCUCAGCCCCGGCUCCUCCCGGCCCCGCGCUCCCACGGCGACGCGGAGAGGCGGGGAGCGACGGCACCGGUCCGUAACGCACCCCAAAACCGAGACGGAGCCGCCGUCCC
ensembl:lncRNA